GUGGGGAAUAUUGGACAAUGGGCGAAAGCCUGAUCCAGCCAUGCCGCGUGCAGGAUGAAGGCCUUCGGGUUGUAAACUGCUUUUGUACGGAACGAAAAGACUCCUUCUAAUAAAGGGGGUCCAUGACGGUACCGUAAGAAUAAGCACCGGCUAACUACGUGCCAGCAGCCGCGGUAAUACGUAGGGUGCAAGCGUUAAUCGGAAUUACUGGGCGUAAAGCGUGCGCAGGCGGUUAUAUAAGACAGAUGUGAAAUCCCCGGGCUCAACCUGGGAACUGCAUUUGUGACUGUAUAGCUAGAGUACGGUAGAGGGGGAUGGAAUUCCGCGUGUAGCAGUGAAAUGCGUAGAUAUGCGGAGGAACACCGAUGGCGAAGGCAAUCCCCUGGACCUGUACUGACGCUCAUGCACGAAAGCGUGGGGAGCAAACAGGAUUAGAAACCCCUGUAGUCC
rnacentral:rRNA from 1 species